UACGUAGGGGGCGAGCGUUGUCCGGAUUUAUUGGGCGUAAAAGGCUUGUAGGUGGCCACGCCAAGUCGGAUGUGAAAUCUCCCGGCUCAACUGGGAGGGGUCAUUCGAUACUGGCGGGCUCGAGGUCGGUAGGGGGAAGCGGAAGUUCCGGGUGUGAGUGGUGGAAUGCGUAGAUAUCCGGAGGAACACCAGAGGCGAAGGCGGCUUC
rnacentral:rRNA from 1 species